AUUUUAAUGGGUAAAUUGUAUUGAUAUUUGAUAGCCUGAAGAGUGGUGGUUUUUCUGGGACAUAUUAUUGCUGGGACUAAUAAGAAGAUUUGGGAGUAGUUGCAUUUUACAUUGAGUUUUUGGUCUUAUAGGUGAUGAGAACGCUAAUGUUUUUGGAUAGAAACAUUUGAACAAUAAUAGAUUAUGGUGCUGCUGCUGUUUGAGGAAGCUGUUAAAGGAACUCAUUGUUGUCAAUAUCAUUAAGCAAUUGUGGUGCUGCUAUUGUUGGGAAAAUUGUAAAACACAUGCUGCUGUUAGGAAAAUUGUGGUGUUGUUGCUGUUGAGAAAGAAUCGAAUUGUUUGAGGGAUUUAACCCAUGUUAACCAGGUAAUUUGAUUUCUCUUUCUUUCCCUUUCUCUCUAUCUCUAUUUCUUUUUGGCUCUCCUUUCUGGAAUAGCUAUGCUCACAUUUUCUGCCAAAAAAAAAAAAAAGAGUAUGAAGAGUAAUUGAGUUAUUGAGUAAAAAAAGAAGAGUAAUUGAGUAAUUGUAUGUGAAGUCUGACUUCUUCCAUGA